rnacentral:rRNA from 1 species
UACGGAGGGUGCAAGCGUUAUCCGGAUUCACUGGGUUUAAAGGGUGCGUAGGCGGAAUGAUAAGUCAGUGGUGAAAGCCCCGAGCUCAACUUGGGAAUUGCCAUUGAUACUGUUGUUCUUGAGUUCGGUUGAGGUAGGCGGAAUGUUGCAUGUAGCGGUGAAAUGCUUAGAUAUGCAACAGAACAUCGAUUGCGAAGGCAGCUUACCAAGCCGACACUGACGCUGAUGCACGAAAGCGUGGGGAUCAAACAGG